UGGUGGUUUGUCGUAGGCUUACAGUGUUUUAGUACUUUCCCAAAAAUAUAUUGUUAAAUAAGUGUUGUUCUGUUGAAUAAUAAUACACAUCUCCAGCCAUACCACCGUAUCACACCACUGUGAAACAAGAGGUCCUUAGCUGUAUUCCAAACCACCUACUGACCAACGAAGUAUACAGUAUACAUAGUAUGCAGUAUGAAACAGUUAAAGUGGUGUAUUUUGCAGUAUGCUAGACCAGGCUUUAGUCUUUAAACAAGCUCUUACAGCACUGGACAAAAAAAACGAACUCCUACACCUAUUGCAUUAUUAUCGAAAAAUACAACUUUGAUUUUCUUUGUUUGUGACC